rnacentral:rRNA from 1 species
CAGUCGCCGCGGUAAUACGUAGGGUGCGAGCGUUAAUCGGAAUUACUGGGCGUAAAGCGUGCGCAGGUGGUUUAAUAAGUCUGAUGUGAAAGCCCACGGCUCAACCGUGGAGGGUCAUUGGAAACUGUUAAACUUGAGUGCAGGAGAGAAAAGUGGAAUUCCUAGUGUAGCGGUGAAAUGCGUAGAGAUUAGGAGGAACACCAGUGGCGAAGGCGGCUUUUUGGCCUGUAACUGACACUGAGGCGCGAAAGCGUGGGGAGCAAACAGGAUUAGAUACCCGUGUAGUCCCUGUCUCUUAUAU